GGUUGUUCCCAGCUAGGUAAAAUAACAAGGGUAAUAACUUGAUUUCAUUGCUUGGUCUUUAUGUAAUUAUAUCUGAGUGGUAGGUAUGUUCUUGACACUCUGCUUGAGAUCAAAUCUGAACCCUUGGAUUUCUAUUACACCCACUAGGCCUAGGGUUAUUUAAAUAUUUAACUGGUCCGAUAUUAAGACGAAGAAUCUGCCACACAGCAGCAUAGCUCGCAAAUUUUGUCACGACACAAAGCUGCGCAGUUCUUGCUGCUCCCCAAGCCUAGCUAAGAAGAGUUCAUGGAGGCUAUUAGCAGGCUCAUUCGAAUACAUGAGCAGCAGGAAGAAGAAGAGAGGGAGCAGAAAAAAAGAAGAAGAACGAUUUGGGGUUGUAACAAUCACAUCAUCCCCGCAACCCGGUUUUCGAUUGCGAGCUUGGAAUCGAAAGAGAGCCAGAACAAUGGAGAGUGCUCUAUCUGUUUGGAUGAAUUUUCAGAGGGAGAACAAGUCACCCAAACGCCUUGCAAGCACAAAUUCCAUGAAGACUGCAUUUUGAAGUGGCUGAAUGGGAAGCACUUCUGCCCGAUGUGCAGGUUUCAGCUGCCAACCAAGGUGACGAAGGAUGCCAUGAACAAGCUCAUUCUAGGCAGUUGAACUGAGAAAUGUGUUAUGCUGCUGUUGUUGUGACUCAGCUCCUUCUUGUGCUUAUCUUUGACCUUUUGGUUCAAUUGACAAGAAGAACAAUAAGACAUGUUUCAAUUGAUUGGGGCUUCGUGUUUUUUAUUUUAUUUUAAUGAAUGCAUGAGUGUGAGUCAACUUUAGCAACCCUUUCUGUGAUCUUAUUGUCAUGGCCAUGGAUUCCAACAUAGAAUAGUUCAAAUGGCAGAGCAAGCUCGAGAUGAAACUUGAUCUUUGGAACGUAGAGUUGAGAUGUCCAGCACAAAGUGUUUGCUUCGACACCUGUUUUGAGACUUAAAAGAACUUUGUGAUUGUGAAGACACGUGUAUUGUGUUGAGUGUAUAUUUUUAGGUGUCAUGGAAGUGCUAUAUAUGUUUAUCCUAUCCCAAAAAAUAAAAAAUUUGAAAUCCUAUCUCUGCAGCCAAAAUAAAUAAAAAAACUCUAUCUUUAUUUUCAUUA